AGCUCCCUCCCUGCUGCCUCCUGCUGCUCCUCUCUCACUGAGGACUGAGACUGUGAAGAGUCAGAAUCUGGCUCUGGGACUGACAGGCUUUCAACAAAGUAACAGAAUUCAGGCCAGCCUGGUUCCAGUCUAUCAACAUGUGAUGAAUAAACACCUUCAGCUUCCUUCCUGCUGCUCCUCUCUCACUGAGGACUGAGACUGUGAAGAGUCAGAAUCUGCGUCUGUGAUGGACAGAGUUGACAGACUGGAACCAGGCUGGAGUGAAUUCAAAAGCUUUGUUGAAAACUGAAAAAAGACUCAUAUCCCCCAAGUCCCCAGGUGAGCUCUGCACAAUUUCUCCUACAGCAGCUUCUCCCAAUAACACCUCUGCAACUCCACAGUUAGAAAUAAAUCUCAUGCUUGUCACUUUGUUGAACUAUGAGCUAUAUUGCACUUUACAGGUAUGUGAUCUUUAUUGUACACUGUCUGAAUGCUCAGGUAAUAACUCCUCAGUGUGUUUCUGCUCAAAAUAUUCUUCUGCCACACAGGGCACCUCUUUCUAUCUCAGUGUAUUAUUUUACAGUAAUCUGAGCUUCAGCACAGCCUCCCACUGACACUCAUUCAGAUUGGAAAUGCUGUCUAGAGUGAAACAGUCUAGAUCCCUUUAUACUUAUUACUCUGCCACUAAUGUUCCAGAUCAGUUCCAAUUAAAGGCUGAUUAAUUCACAG